rnacentral:lncRNA from 1 species
UAUAGAUUUUAGUUUUGUGUGCUCUGUUGGCAAAUAAAACACGGUUUUUAGUUCAAAUGCGUAAUAAUCUAAUUCCCGAUUGAUUAAUUACGACGCAUCUGAACGAAAAAAAAACUUGUUUUUGCCAACAAAGCACGCAAAACUAAAAUCUAUAUCCAUUCUAACACGUUCUACUUACACCAGGAGGGGAUCCUUUUUAAUGCGGAAUAGCCAAAAGUAGGUCAUGAUUUUGCGAAACGUGUUUUAUCGACAAGACAAUACACGGUUAUAUGGCGACUUUCCAGCUUUGAUGGUGGAGGAAAACCCCAGGUGCCUCUCCGAGCAUGAUUUUAUCACGAGCGGACACCUAGGUAGAACAUUCAGUCUUCCGUAAGCCGGAUGGAUGGCUUCCCCGAGUGCGGCUCGAACACAUUUCGAUGUGUGGCAAGUGAUUUGAAGUCAGCGAUUUUAACCAUUCUGUCACGAACCUAAUUCAAAAUGUGUCAAUAAAACCGAAACUGUACGAAUACGUUUAAAAUAGACAUGGAUACAAUGAAAUACUGCAUAUAAAUUAUUUUGUAUUUACAAAAGAAUGCUUUUAGGUAGUACAUUAUUGUAAUACUAAUUUCUGGUAACACUGGACAUAGGUUCUUCUUGUUUACAUAUUAUUAUAGAUAUUUACCACUUUGUGUUACAUGAUAUUAAAGCAAUUAACAACUGCGUAGGUCCACUUCGUACAGGAAA